rnacentral:rRNA from 1 species
UACGGAGGGUGCAAGCGUUAAUCGGAAUUACUGGGCGUAAAGCGCGCGUAGGCGGCCUGGUAAGUCGGAUGUGGAAGCCCCGGGCUCAACCUGGGAAUUGCAUUCGAUACUGCCAGGCUGGAGUGUGGGAGAGGAGAGUGGAAUUCCUAGUGUAGCGGUGAAAUGCGUAGAUAUUAGGAGGAACACCAGUUGCGAAGGCGGCUCUCUGGACUGUAACUGACACUGAGGCACGAAAGCGUGGGGAGCAAACAGGAUUAGAUACCCGGGUA